GGAGGAGCACCUUCUUUUUAGGAAAUGACGCUUCGGGCUCAGCCUCCCGUGCAUGCUUCUCUCCCGUGUGAGUGCAGAGAAGGUCCUGGGUUCUGUCUGCUGCUUCACUCUGGGGGGUUUGGACCUGGACCUGAGAGAGCCCAGAACCCCAGUAGCAGCAGAAGGGCCGGAGCGUCACACAGCAACUGUGGGUCGGCGUAACUCUGCCGUUAGCUCUGUCCCCUUGGAAGUGCAAGUGCUGCCCCUGGCUGGGAGUUUCCUUCGUCAUUUUCCUGCACAGAGUGCCUUCGAUCACACCUGUUGUGUGCGUGAAUCAGGUCUUCAUUUCUCAGAGGUACGUCAUGCGUUCUAGAGAGUUCUGUCUCUCAUAUGAAGUGCUUCCUACAGAAAGAACGAAUGUACAGCUCUUCAUGUUGCCAAAGCAUCAAGACACACUAAACCCACACAGGCACAUUCCACAGGGCAUUUUGAGUGGCUGGAGGCCAUGGCACCAGUGCCUGGGGUUGCACCUGCACCCUCCCAUGUGGGAAGUGGGCAUGACCAGAGGCAGAGACCAGACUUGGCAGCACGUGGUGAGGCUGCACAGCCCUGAGGAAGCUGCUAGGCCCCGACAGUGGGUGGCCCGGACAAUCCAGCCUGACAAAGAGCUGCAUUCCACCUGCGUUGGAGAUGGAUGCUGACAGAUGGCCGCACAGAAGCUUCUGCAGCCUGGUGCCCACCAGGCCCACAGAGGAAAAGGGUUCUGGAGUGAAAAGCCUCUUCUGGCACUCAAGAGGCGUCUGUGUGAAGGCAGGGCCCUGUUUGCCCCCGGGUGUCAGAAGAUAGGAAGGACCAGAGCUGGGCUUGGCCACUCCCGAGACAACCUCAGUGGACCCAGCACACAGCAUUCCCAGGCCGGGCUGGAGGGACUUUGAUGGAUCCUGUACACAGCACCCCUGGGCUGGGCUGGAGAGACCUCACUGCACACACUGGAAGGGAUAUUGUUGUGUGAAUUGUUUUCUGAACACACCAUUUUCCUUACAGAAACUCCUAUUCAUCCUUCAAUCCCAGCUCACAGUCACCUCCUCCAGGAAGCCCUCCACCCUCCAUCGCCGGUCAGUGUUGGGUGGUGUGCCUGUCUCCUCUUUGGACUGCGAGCUCCCCGGGGUCCUUGUGAUGUCUUUUCAUUGCUUUCCUCCACUUCCUGCCUGGUUCUUGGCACACACUGAGUGCUUAUUGAACACAUGGUCAGUAAAUUUAAAGGAUGAGAUGUACUGAAUU